AAACAUGGUAUUUAGUUUAAAACAUUUGAACCAAACUGUCGUAACAGGAACUACAUAAGAAGGUUUAACUGUCGUAGUUGAAAACACAUUCAAAUUAAUUAUAGUUCUAAUCACAGUAUCACAAUAAUUAAAAAUAAUAAAAAUAAUAAAUUUAUCUUUCUAAUUAUAUUUUAAGUAAAAAAAAUCAUGCACGUUUGAAAUUCUAGAAUGCACGCAAUAAAAUAAAUUAUUUAUAUAUUCAAUUUCUUUAUACCAACGCACCAAUAAACAGCGAAUCACAUCUCUCUUUUUUUUAAAAAGAUAUAAAUUUUUUUUUUAAUAAUUAUAAUGGGAUCUAUAAAUUAAAAAAAAUGAUAUUAAAAAUGCCACAUCAGCAGAAAAAAAAAAGUGUGAAAAAAAGAAAAAGGAAAAAGAAAAACGAACUCCUUGAAUAUUUACUUAUUGGAUUAUUUGCAUACACGUCCCUACAAAUAUGAUGAAUUAUAAAAAUAUUCCUGCAAAAUAGAAAUUCCAUAAGUUAUUCCUACAAAAGUCCUAAGUUAUGCAGAUAUGCACCUCUGGUUGAAAUCUGUUAGGAAACUGUUAAUUUUUUAACAGUUUUCUUGUGAAAUGACUUUAUUGCCCUCACAAAUAUAUCCUUCCAAAAUAUUUCUCUUCCCCUUUCCUUUCUCUCCCUCUUCGGGCCACGGGAGUGGACGGCGGCGGCGCGGGGUUGGAUUCGCCGGCGACGAAAAAAAGAGAAGAGAAAGAAGGAGAGGAAGAGGGAGAAGAAGAGGAAGAGGAAGAGGAAGAGGGAG
rnacentral:lncRNA from 1 species